rnacentral:misc_RNA from 1 species
UUUUUUUUUUUUCUUUUUUUUGGUGGGUUAAAACAACCUUCAUUUCGGUACCUCCUACUGUAAGCAGGAAGGCAAUUUCAGUAGAUUACCGAUUAACCAGGGCAGAACUUGAUUGGAAGGAAGAUGCGCCGAAGCAUCAAUGACCUCAAAUGACAAAACUAACCUCAUAAGGGACCUAUUGGCUAAACUGCAAAGAUAAGGAAAUUACGAGAUUGCCACCUAGACAGCCAAGCUCAACACUUUUCUUGGUAGAAAAGCAAGACCCACUUUUGGUGAAAAAGUUGACAGUGACAGAACCUUAAUUAAUUAUUAAUCCAUAUAAUCCAAACACAUAAUUACAACUUUUUAAUGAUAAUUUUGGACAGUUACCCUCCAUAAUCUAAUCCCCCAAAAAUCUAAAUCUAAUGAUUAAUUAAUCAAUUACCUAAAUGACAACUAACCUUGUUGCAGCCUGGGACCAGCUC